rnacentral:rRNA from 1 species
GACGAACGCUGGCGGCGUGCUUAACACAUGCAAGUCGAACGGAAAGGCCCUGCUUUUGUGGGGUGCUCGAGUGGCGAACGGGUGAGUAACACGUGAGUAACCUGCCCUUGACUUUGGGAUAACUUCAGGAAACUGGGGCUCAUACCGGAUAGGAUCUCCUGCUGCAUGGUGGGGGUUGGAAAGUUUCGGCGGUUGGGGAUGGACUCGCGGCUUAUCAGCUUGUUGGUGGGGUAGUGGCUUACCAAGGGUUUGACGGGUAGCCGGCCUGAGAGGGGGACCGGGGACAUUGGGACUGAGAGACGGCGCAGUAUCCUACGGGAGGCAGCAGUGGGGAAUCUUGCGCAGUGGGCGGAAGCCAGAUGCGGAAACGCCGGGUGCGGGAUGACGGGCUUCGGGUUGUAAACAGAUGUCGACGGUGACGAGGAGUGAGUGACGGUAAUGGGUAAAGAAGCACCGGCUAACUACGUG